rnacentral:rRNA from 1 species
GUGGGGAAUAUUGCACAAUGGGGGAAACCCUGAUGCAGCAACGCCGCGUGGAGGAUGACGCAUUUCGGUGUGUAAACUCCUUUUAUAAGGGAAGAUAAUGACGGUACCUUAUGAAUAAGCACCGGCUAACUCCGUGCCAGCAGCCGCGGUAAUACGGAGGGUGCAAGCGUUACUCGGAAUCACUGGGCGUAAAGGAUGCGUAGGCUGUAAUAUAAGUCAGAAGUGAAAUCCAACGGCUUAACCGUUGAACUGCUUUUGAAACUGUUUUACUAGAAUAUGGGAGAGGUAGAUGGAAUUGGUGGUGUAGGGGUAAAAUCCGUAGAUAUCACCAGGAAUACCGAUUGCGAAGGCGAUCUACUGGAACAUUAUUGACGCUGAGGCAUGAAAGCGUGGGGAGCAAACAGGAUUAGAAACCCUAGUAGUCC